GCUGGGUGUGGUGGCAUACACCUAUAAUUUCAGCGGCUCGGGAGGCUGAGGCAGGAGGAUCGUGAGUUCAAAGCCAGCCUCAGCAACAGCGAGGUGCUAAGCAACAUAGUGAGACCCUGUCUUUA
rnacentral:sRNA from 1 species